rnacentral:lncRNA from 1 species
GGAAAACGAAUUGAAGAGGAGAAGGAGAGUUGAAAAGGAAGAAGGUGGAAUCGGAGCGUGGGGAUGCCGGAGACGACGACAAAGCAACUACCAGUAGUCCAGAUUGAGAUUGAUCCACUUGAUGCUUUCAUGAACGAUAUGGUGUAACCUCAACUUGAGAAGCUAAACAAAACAACCAUUGCCAUGGAUUAGGAAUGUUCCUUCGCUGAACACCCCAACAACUAUAUUCGCCUUGGGAG